GAAGUGGUAGGUCAGUGGUUAAGACGUAGGACUCCUAAUUGGAAGGUCAUGAGUUCAAUUCCCAGCACCGCUGCC